rnacentral:tRNA from 1 species
CAUUUGAUGGCCGAAAAUAAGCACAUAUCUUUUAAAUAUGUUAUAGUACUACUACUUCAGGUGA